UAAACCAGCCACACAGGUGUCCACAAAGAUGCAUAUGAUAUGUUGUGAAAUGAUAAUGAUGCUCAAAGGUACAUGUCACCACUCACUUAGAUAAUCACACAAAUCACCAGCCACUUAGGCAACCACAAAGAUAACAUUAUUUAAAACUCAAAUCACCAGCCACUUAGGCAACCACAAAGAUAACAACAUUUAAAUCCAAAU
rnacentral:lncRNA from 1 species